rnacentral:rRNA from 1 species
UACGAAGGGGGCUAGCGUUGUUCGGAAUUACUGGGCGUAAAGCGCACGUAGGCGGACAUUUAAGUCAGGGGUGAAAUCCCAGAGCUCAACUCUGGAACUGCCUUUGAUACUGGGUGUCUAGAGUAUGGAAGAGGUGAGUGGAAUUCCGAGUGUAGAGGUGAAAUUCGUAGAUAUUCGGAGGAACACCAGUGGCGAAGGCGGCUCACUGGACUGGUAUUGACGCUGAGGUGCGAAAGCGUGGGGAGCAAACAGG